UACGUAGGGUGCAAGCGUUGUCCGGAAUUAUUGGGCGUAAAGAGCUCGUAGGCGGUCUGUUACGUCGGCUGUGAAAACCUGGGGCUCAACUCCGGGCCUGCAGCCGAUACGGGCAGACUAGAGUUCGGCAGGGGAGACUGGAAUUCCUGGUGUAGCGGUGAAAUGCGCAGAUAUCAGGAGGAACACCGGUGGCGAAGUCGGGUCUCUGGGCCGAAACUGACGCUGAGGAGCGAAAGCGUGGGGAGCAAGCAGG
rnacentral:rRNA from 1 species